CCUACGGGCGUCAGCAGUGGGGAAUAUUGGGCAAUGGGCGCAAGCCUGACCCAGCAACGCCGCGUGAAGUAAGAAGGCUUUCGGGUUGUAAACUUCUUUUAAGGGGGAAGAGCAGAAGACGGUACCCCUUGAAUAAGCCACGGCUAACUACGUGCCAGCAGCCGCGGUAAUACGUAGGUGGCAAGCGUUGUCCGGAUUUACUGGGUGUAAAGGGCGUGCAGCCGGAGAGACAAGUCAGAUGUGAAAUCCACGGGCUCAACCCGUGAACUGCAUUUGAAACUGUUUCCCUUGAGUGUCGGAGAGGUAAUCGGAAUUCCUUGUGUAGCGGUGAAAUGCGUAGAUAUAAGGAAGAACACCAGUGGCGAAGGCGGAUUACUGGACGAUAACUGACGGUGAGGCGCGAAAGCGUGGGGAGCAAACAGGAUUAGAUACCCCGGUAGUC
rnacentral:rRNA from 1 species